rnacentral:rRNA from 1 species
GAUCCUGGCUCAGGAUGAACGCUAGCUACGGGCUUAACACAUGCAAGUCGAGGGGCAUCAGUUUGGUUUGCUUGCAAACCAAAGCAGGCGACCGGCGCACGGGUGAGUAACACGUAUCCAACCUGCCUCAUACUCGGGGAUAGCCUUUCGAAAGAAAGAUUAAUAUCCGAUAGCAUAUAUUUCCCGCAUGGGUUUUAUAUUAAAGAAAUUCGGUAUGAGAUGGGGAUGCGUUCCAUUAGUUUGUUGGGGGGGUAACGG